rnacentral:rRNA from 1 species
GAUUAAGUUAUUAAGGGCGCACGGUGGAUGCCUUGGCACUAGAAGCCGAUGAAGGACGUUACUAACGACGAUAUGCUUUGGGGAGCUGUAAGUAAGCUUUGAUCCAGAGAUUUCCGAAUGGGGAAACCCAGCAUGAGUUAUGUCAUGUUAUCGAUAUGUGAAUACAUAGCAUAUCAGAAGGCACACCCGGAGAACUGAAACAUCUUAGUACCCGGAGGAAGAGAAAGAAAAUUCGAUUCCCUUAGUAGCGGCGAGCGAAACGGGAAGAGCCCAAACCAACAAGCUUGCUUGUUGGGGUUGUAGGACACUCUAUACGGAGUUACAAAGGACGACAUUAGACGAAUCAUCUGGAAAGAUGAAUCAAAGAAGGUAAUAAUCCUGUAGUCGAAAAUGUUGUCUCUCUUGAGUGGAUCCUGAGUACGACGGAGCACGUGAAAUUCCGUCGGAAUCUGGGAGGACCAUCUCCUAAGGCUAAAUACUCUCUAGUGACCGAUAGUGAACCAGUACCGUGAGGGAAAGGUGAAAAGCACCCCGGAAGGGGAGUGAAA